rnacentral:rRNA from 1 species
GUGUCAGCAGCCGCGGUAAGACAGAGGUGGCGAGCGUUGUUCGGAUUUAUUGGGCGUAAAGCGAACGCAGGUGGUUUGGUAAGUCAGAGGUGAAAUUCCGCAGCUUAACUGCGGCACUGCCUUUGAUACUGCCUUUCUAGAGUGCAUGAGGGGGAAGCGGAAUUCCGAGUGUAGAGGUGAAAUUCGUAGAUAUUCGGAGGAACACCGGUGGCGAAGGCGGCUUCCUGGCAUGCAACUGACACUCAUGUUCGAAAGCGUGGGGAGCAAACAGGAUUAGAUACCCCCGUAGUCC